rnacentral:pre_miRNA from 1 species
UAACUACUCCCUCCGUUCGGAAUUACUUGUCGCAGAAAUGGAUGUAUCUAGACGUAUUUUAGUUUUAGAUACAUCCAUUUCCGAGACAAGUAAUUCCGAACGGAGGGAGUAGUAU